GGUUUGUGGCUCAGUGGUAGAGCACUUGCCUACCAUAUGUGAGGCACUGGGUUCAAUUCUCAGCACCA
rnacentral:tRNA from 1 species